UGGGGAAUAUUGGACAAUGGGCGCAAGCCUGAUCCAGCCAUGCCGCGUGAGUGAUGAAGGCCCUAGGGUUGUAAAGCUCUUUCAGCGAGGAGGAUAAUGACGUUACUCGCAGAAGAAGCCCCGGCUAACUUCGUGCCAGCAGCCGCGGUAAUACGAAGGGGGCUAGCGUUGUUCGGAAUCACUGGGCGUAAAGCGCACGUAGGCGGACUUUUAAAGUCAGGGGUGAAAUCCCGGGGCUCAACCUCGGAACUGCCUUCGAUACUGGAAGUCUGGAGUCCGAGAGAGGGUGAGUGGAACUCCGAGUGUAGAGGUGAAAUUCGUAGAUAUUCGGAAGAACACCAGUGGCGAAGGCGGCUCACUGGCUCGGUACUGACGCUGAGGUGCGAAAAGCGUGGGGAGCAAAACAGGAUUAGAUACCCUGGUAGUCCACGCCGUAAAACGAUGGAAGCUAGCCGUCAGGGGUGCAUGCAUCUUGGUGGCGCAGUUAACGCAUUAAGCUUCCCGCCUGGGGAGUACGGUCGCAAGAUUAAAAACUCAAAAUGAAAUUGACGGGGGUCAUAGCUG
rnacentral:rRNA from 1 species